AUCUUGUAUUUCUAAAUAUUUAUAAUACAUGACAAACAUAAAGUUUACAUUCUUUUAUGUUUUUAGAGUACAUUAAAAUAUUAUCUAAAUAAUAGACAACAAAAGAUAUUAUUCAUGAGAUUUUUGUUGAGAUCAUUAAAUGUAGUCGGUGCUCUCCAUAAUAUUUACUGUAGACUACAGUAAUUACUAUAGCUAUAAUAUUUAGAGUCUAGUGGAGAAGUACUAUUUAUCCUCUCCUCUUUUCUCUUCUUUUAUACGAAAUACAACUAGAUGAAUAGAUUUUGUGUAGUUGAAGCUCUCUCUCCUUAAAAACCCUCUUGUGUGUAUGACUUACUACUAUCACAAUUUUUUGCUCUAGUCUUUGACUCUUCAAACUUGUUGCUACCUUUGCUCACUAUCUACCUCAUGAUCUUGUUCUUCUUGUUGGCCCCUCACACAUUAGCUGCUUGCUUAAAGCACUUGUUCCACUUUUUUUCUUGCUUGCUUAAAAUACUUGAUCCAACCCAAUUCUACCCCAGCUUGCUCCCUGCUCCUUGCUACAUCCCGCACUUGUUGCCUAACAACUGCCAAACACCCUGAAACAGCCGCUAAAUCCGCCACUGCCACCGCUACCAUCUUGUUGUCGCUGACGUUGUCCUUGCCGCCAUCACCGUUCUAACGCCACUGCC
rnacentral:lncRNA from 1 species